rnacentral:rRNA from 1 species
GCUCAUGACGAACGCUGGCGGCGUGCCUAAUACAUGCAAGUCGAACGAACUCUGGUAUUGAUUGGUGCUUGCAUCAUGAUUUACAUUUGAGUGAGUGGCGAACUGGUGAGUAACACGUGGGAAACCUGCCCAGAAGCGGGGGAUAACACCUGGAAACAGAUGCUAAUACCGCAUAACAACUUGGACCGCAUGGUCCGAGCUUGAAAGAUGGCUUCGGCUAUCACUUUUGGAUGGUCCCGCGGCGUAUUAGCUAGAUGGUGGGGUAACGGCUCACCAUGGCAAUGAUACGUAGCCGACCUGAGAGGGUAAUCGGCCACAUUGGGACUGAGACACGGCCCAAACUCCUACGGGAGGCAGCAGUAGGGAAUCUUCCACAAUGGACGAAAGUCUGAUGGAGCAACGCCGCGUGAGUGAAGAAGGGUUUCGGCUCGUAAAACUCUGUUGUUAAAGAAGAACAUAUCUGAGAGUAACUGUUCAGGUAUUGACGGUAUUUAACCAGAAAGCCACGGCUAACUACGUGCCAGCAGCCGCGGUAAUACGUAGGUGGCAAGCGUUGUCCGGAUUUAUUGGGCGUAAAGCGAGCGCAGGCGGUUUUUUAAGUCUGAUGUGAAAGCCUUCGGCUCAACCGAAGAAGUGCAUCGGAAACUGGGAAACUUGAGUGCAGAAGAGGACAGUGGAACUCCAUGUGUAGCGGUGAAAUGCGUAGAUAUAUGGAAGAACACCAGUGGCGAAGGCGGCUGUCUGGUCUGUAACUGACGCUGAGGCUCGAAAGUAUGGGUAGCAAACAGGAUUAGAUAC